UGCGAUCAACCCGUAGAUCCGAACUUGUGUCCGCUAUCGUUCCACACGAGCUCGGUCUUCGGGUAGAUCGCGA
rfam:Steinernema glaseri strain NC unplaced genomic scaffold GLAS_7049, whole genome shotgun sequence.